rnacentral:rRNA from 1 species
GAUGAACGCUGGCGGCGUGCUUAACACAUGCAAGUCGAGCGAAGCACUUAAGUUCGAUUCUUCGGAUGAAGACUUUUGUGACUGAGCGGCGGACGGGUGAGUAACGCGUGGGUAACCUGCCUCAUACAGGGGGAUAACAGUUAGAAAUGGCUGCUAAUACCGCAUAAGACCACAGUACUGCAUGGUACAGUGGUAAAAACUCCGGUGGUAUGAGAUGGACCCGCGUCUGAUUAGGUAGUUGGUGAGGUAACGGCCCACCAAGCCGACGAUCAGUAGCCGACCUGAGAGGGUGACCGGCCACAUUGGGACUGAGACACAGCCCAGACUCCUACGGGAGGCAGCAGUGGGGAAUAUUGCACAAUGGGCGAAGGCCUGAUGCAGCGACGCCGCGUGAAGGAUGAAGUAUUUCGGUAUGUAAACUUCUAUCAGCAGGGAAGAAAAUGACGGUACCUGACUAAGAAGCCCCGGCUAACUACGUGCCAGCCGCCGCUGUAA